rnacentral:lncRNA from 1 species
GUAAGUUAAAGCCUCCUGCUUCUGGUAUAUUUCCAUCAUUUAUUUAUUACAUUUCCCAGAGGUUAUACUUUUUGCAUCUUGCCACUCUAUUAAUUAGUACCUACAAAUUUAUGACAGCUAUAGCAUUAUUUCAUUUAAAAAUUUUUCUUUUUAGAGACAGGCUGAAGUGCAGUGGUGCCAUCAUGGCUCACUGCAGCCUUGAACAUUUCUCAACCCUGGGCUCCACCUCAGCCUCCCAAGUAGUUGGGUGAGUCACCACACCCAGACAUACACACUGUUCUAUUUUAUUUAUUGAUUGAUUUAUUUCACUUCACAAUGGGUCGACACAUUGUUCUAAACCUUUACCCUCCAAAAGCAAGACACUAUCUCCACCAACAACAACAAAAAUUUUUAAUUAGCUGAGCAUAGUGGCGUCAUGCCUAUAAUUCCAGCUACUCUGGAGGCCAAGGUGGGAAGAUCAUUUGAGCCCAGGAAUUUGAGGCUGCAGUGAGGUGAGAUCACGCCACUGCAUUCCAGCUUGCGUGACAGAGCAAGACCCCAUCUCUAAAAUAAAUAAAUUAAAAUCUUCAUCAGUAAAUCCCAAUACCUCAUAUGGACUCAUGAUCUUGUAAUACAUUUUGUAUUUAAAUUGUUUAUAUAGACAGAGUUCCUGCAAAAAAUACUUGUCUGGGGCCCCAUACAUUUUAGGGGCAAUGCUGUGGUCAGCCUUUGAGGUGGUCCCUGAUGAUUCCCCAUCCUGGUGUCUGUGCCCCCCGCCUUGAGUGUGGUCUGGAUUUUGUGACUCAAAACAAAUAGAAUAUGGUAGAAAUGAUAAUACCACCUCUGAGAUUCAUUUAUAAAAAGAUCCCUCUCUCUGUCUCACUGGAGCCCAGCCAUCAAUUAGAAAGGCUAUAUGAAAAAAAUGAGGCCCUGGAGACUGAGAGGCCACAUGGAGGAGACCUGAAGCACCCCAGCCAAUAGCCAACACCAGCCAUCAGCCAGUCCAGCUGAAAUUCUGCUUCUAAAGAGCCUGCCCUGUGACACUGCCCAGUGAAACUAAGGGGUCCCAACACUGCAUCCACUAGGAGUUACCCCAGGGGAAAGCACAUGAGUGGAAUGGUCACUUUAUCGGCUGAAGAGUAGUGGAAAGAGUCAAGAAAACUCACCUGAGAAAACCAGAGGGCUGCAGCUCAAAGUCAAGGGUACAGGAAGUGACCCUGAGAAGGUCUCCAGCACUGUGUUCUAUAAGGCUCAGCCCAACACAACCAAGCCGGUGGUGAGUCAAGAAAAGUGCCACCAAGAUGAGUUUAAAGUAGAAUGUCAAAUCUGCCACCUCAAAAUUUCACAAGGAGGAAACCCCCAAAAUCAUGCACAACAAUAUUCACAAUCAAUCAUCUUGAAUCCAGACUCAAUAGACAAUGUGAAGAGUGUAAACAAAAGAAGAAAGUGUUAGCGAAAAAGGAGGUUCCUCAAAAUUAUCCUGCCAUCCACAGACCUUGGUAGAAACUGGGCAUCUGUGUGGUGUUGCACACUGUGCAGAAAAACAGUAACAGAGCAGGCCUCAACUGCGAUCCUUGGAAAGGCCUGCUUCAAGGUUGGCCCUUGGGUGGUGUCUAAGAACAUAGACUCCAGGAGGGUUCCCACCAUUCCCUAAGAGAUAAGAAUGGCUCACUCGGGCCGGGUGUGGUGGCUCACACCUGUAACGCCAGCACUUUGGUAGGCCAAGGUGAGAGGAUCACUUGAGCCCAGGAGUUCAAGGCCAGCCUGGGCAACAUGGCAAAACCCAUCUCUGCAAAAAUCAGCUGGGGUCAUGGUGGUGCAUGUCUGUGGUCCCAGCUACUUUGGAGGAUGAGGCAGCAGGACCGCUUGAGCCUGGGAGGUUGAGGCUGCAGCGAACCAUGUUUGAGCCACUGCACUCCAGCCUGGGCAACAAAGUGAGACCCUGUCUCAAAAAAAAAAAAAAAGAAAGAAAGAAAAAAAAGAAUGGCUUACUCUACCUAAGCUGUUUGUAUAAAAAAGUGGGCCAGGAGCGGUGGCUCAUGCCUGUAAUCCCAGCACUUUGGGAGGUCGAGGCAGGCGGAUCACAAGGUCAAGAGAUGGAGACCAGCCUGGCCAAUAUGGUGAAACCCCGUCUCUACUAAAAAUACAAAAAUUAGCUGGGCGUGGUGGUGGCAGGCGCCUGUAGUCCCAGCUAUUCAGGAAGCUGAGGCAGGAGAAUUGCUUGAACCCAGGAGGCGGAGGUUACAGUAAGCCGAGAUCACGCCACUGCACUCCAGCCUGGCGACAAAGCGAGACUCCGUCUCAAUUAAAAAAAAAAAAAAAAAGGUGGUUUAUGCUGAGCCCCUGCUUUCCUUUUGGGAGCCUGGGAUUUGGGUAGGUGCCAGGCAGGGGGUGCCUAUGUGACCAUGCCCCAAUAAAAACUUGAUACCAGCCAGGUGCUCACGCCUGUAAUCCCAGCAGUUUGGGAGGCUGAGGUGGGAGGAUCACUUGAGGUCAGGAGUUCAAGAUCAGCCUGGCCAACAUGGUGAAACCCCAUCCCUACUAAAAAUACAAAAAUUAGCCGAGCUUGCUGGUGCGCGCCUGUAGUUCCAGCUAUUCGGGAAGCUGAGGCCCGAGGAUCGCUUGAACCCAGGAGGUGGAGGCUGCAGUGAGCCAAGAUCAUGCCACUGCAUUCCAGCCUGGGCGUCAGAGCAAGACCCCCCCCCCCCCGCCAAAAAAAAACCAAAACAACAACAACAACAAAAAAAACCUCUGGGUGCUGAGUCUCUAAUUGAGCUUCCUUGGUCAGCAACAUUUCGCAUGUAUUGUCACAACCCAUUACUGUGAACCGAGCACAUCUUGUGUGACUCCAAUGAGAGAGAAGCCCUGGAAACUUGUGCCUGGGUCUCUCUGGGAGUUGGUCCUGCACACCAUUUCUUUUUGCUGAUUUUGCUCCAUAUCUUUUUGUUGUAAUAAGUCAAUCGUAGCCAUGAAUACAACCACAUACUGAGUCUUGGGAGUCCUCCUAGCAAAUCACUGGGCUUGGGGCUGGUAUUGAGGACCAUGACACACACACACAUACAUGACCUUUACCAUGGGAACAAUCCAGCUCACUGAUGUCCCUAUCUCACCACCAUGUACCCUGAGGUCUAUUAGAUGGAAGUGCCAGUUAGAAAUGCUUGGGGUGCAAGUAACCACACUGUCAAAUAACUGGACUGAACAAACGGGAGAUUAUUUCCCUCCAACAAGACUGUUGGUGCGAGUUCAGCAGCUCAGCAAUGCUGGGCCAAGCUGGAGUCUCUACCACGCUGUGGACUGACCCUAAGGUCCCAAGAUGUCAGUCGCAGUUCCAGUCAACGCAUAUGUGGCAACAAAUGGAGCUGAGAAGGAAGGGAGGGGCCGGAGCAAGAGCCUCUUUGCUGCUUCAGGUAACUUUGACAUUUUCUGGUGACGCAGGCCACUGAUAAGUGAUUUUGGUUAUUUACCCCCAUCAAUACUCAAAGCUUUUUCUCCUCUCUUGGGGCUCCCCUCAAAUACUUAACAUCACUUUUUGGUCUCUGAGCUGUUCCAGGGCUGGAAUUUGUACCCUGGAUGGGGCUGGGAGGAGACAGGGGUGGUCUGAGGGAUGGAGAUUCCGCCACACAGCAGGAGGCCCCAGGUCAGCCUUAACUUCCCGUUGCUCCUGCACCAGCUUGGGGCUCCAGGACUCAACACCUCUGCUCCCUGCUUUUAAUAAACAACACAAUGCACAGAAGGGUUGGGAAUAUCGCCCCCUGAGGAGGCAGCAGAGUCCUGCAGCCUAACAUAGUGAACCCCCUGGGGGUCCGACCCAACAUUCCCCCGCCAACUCCUCCACUGUCACUACCCUGGUGCAAGUCCCCAUCACUGCGCUCAGAGGGGUCUCCUGCUGGGUCCCCUGCUUCUACCCCCACCCCCAAUCUGUCCCCUUCAGCAGCCAGAGGGAGCCUCUAUGACCAAGUCAGAUCAUGUUCCUCCUCUGCUUGACACCUUCUGGUCACCCCCACUCAGAAAAAAAGCCAAAGUCCUAACUGUGGCCCAUGAAGCAUCUGGCCUGUCUGACCUCAUGUACUGUCACACUCUGGUCCAGCAAGACUCUGGCAUACACAAUGAUCCUUCUGGAGCGCUCCAGCCUCAGUGCCUUUAGGCUGGCUUUCUCUCUGCCUGGAAUGUUCUCCCCCUACACUAUGACUCCCACUCACUUCAUUCAGGUCUUUAAAUGUCACCCUGAGCCAGGCGUGGUGGUUCAUGCCUGUAAUCCCAGCACUUUGGGAGGCUGAGGCGAGUGGAUCGCUUGAGCCCAGGAGUUCAAGACCAGCCUGAGCAACAUGGCGAGACCCCGUCUCUACUAAAAAUACAAAAAUUACCCGAGUGUGGUGGCACACACCUGUAGUCCCAGCUACUUGGGAGGCUUAAGUGAGGAUCACUUGAGCCCUGGAGGUUGAGGCUGCAGUGAGCUAUGGUCAUGCCACUGCAUUCCAACCUGGGUGACAGAGUGAGACCCUGUCUCAAAAACAAAAAAGUCACCCUGUCAGGAUCAUCUUCCCUGAUGCUGUCACCAUAAAGAGCCCACUCCCCCAACUUCUGCAGCUCUGUCUCCCAUCCUUGCUUUAUUUUCUUCAUACCACUCAUCAUUAGCUGGCCUGUUCCAUGUUUUUAUCUACUGUCUCCGCUAUGAUGCAAGCCCAAUGAAGGCAGGCAUUUCCAUCAGUUUAGGUCAGAGCAGUAUCCCCAGUGCCUAGAACAGUUCCUGGCACACGGUCAGGGCUCACUAAUGUCUAUCGAAUGCAUAAGUGUGUAAAACAGUUAAGGCAGGGCCUGUAACCCAGCAGACAUUCAAUCAAUGCUUGUGGAAUGAAUGAAUCCGUCGAUGCAUGAAUGCACAAAUGAGUCAAUGAACCCCGUUCCACCGUGUUCCUGGAGCUGCCCGCUGCCCUCUGCCCUGUCCGUCCCCGGCAGAGCUGGGAGCCGGCC